rnacentral:rRNA from 1 species
UGGGGAAUCUUGGACAAUGGGCGCAAGCCUGAUCCAGCCAUGCCGCGUGAGUGAUGAAGGCCCUAGGGUUGUAAAACUCUUUCGUGGGGGACGAUAAUGACGGUACCCCAAGAAGAAGCUCCGGCUAACUUCGUGCCAGCAGCCGCGGUAAUACGAAGGGGGCUAGCGUUGUUCGGAUUUACUGGGCGUAAAGCGCGUGUAGGCGGGCUGGAAAGUUGGGGGUGAAAUCCCGAGGCUCAACCUCGGAACUGCCUCCAAAACUUCCAGCCUGGACUCAAGUAGAGGCAAGUGGAAUUGCGAGUGUAGAGGUGAAAUUCGUAGAUAUUCGCAGGAACACCAGUGGCGAAGGCGACUUGCUGGACUUGUAGUGACGCUGAGACGCGAAAGCGUGGGGAGCAAACAGGAUUAGAUACCCCAGUAGUCCCUGAGCGGGCUGGCAAGGCGCAU